UGAGAAUUAGUUCAGUUGGUAGAACAUUGCGCUGUUAACGCAAAUGUCACAGGUUCGAGUCCUGUAUUCUCAG
rnacentral:tRNA from 1 species